UCGACAUGAGGUCAGGCA
rnacentral:rRNA from 1 species